rnacentral:tRNA from 1 species
GGUGUUAUACUUUAAUAAAAAAGAUUUACUUUGCGUGUAGAAUAUGGGGUCUCCCUAAUGCCA